rnacentral:rRNA from 1 species
GAUGAACGCUAGCGGCAGGCCUAAUACAUGCAAGUCGAACGGGAUCUGAGGGUAGCUUGCUACCCGAUUUGAGAGUGGCGCACGGGUGCGCAACGCGUGAGCAACCUACCCAUAUCAGGGGGAUAGCCCGAAGAAAUUCGGAUUAACACCGCAUAAUAAUACGCUAACACAUGUUGAUGUAUUUAAAUAUUUAUAGGAUAUGGAUGGGCUCGCGUGACAUUAGCUAGUUGGUAAGGUAACGGCUUACCAAGGCGACGAUGUCUAGGGGCUCUGAGAGGAGAAUCCCCCACACCGGUACUGAGACACGGACCAGAAUCCUACGGGAGGCAGCAGUAAGGAAUAUUGGUCAAUGGGCGCAAGCCUGAACCAGCCAUGCCGCGUGCAGGAUGACUGCCCUAUGGGUUGUAAACUGCUUUUGUUAGGGAAUAAACCUUCUUACGUGUAAGGAGCUGAAUGUACCUAAAGAAUAAGGAUCGGCUAACUCCGUGCCAGCCGCCGCAGUAACAC